CUGGGUAGUUGUUGUUGUUGCUUUGUUUAACAAUGGAUUACUGUUUCUUGAUGCUGCUCGAGUGGGUCUGUAAGUAAAUGUAUUGCUGUUCUGUCUCACUUUUCAGGCCAUUACCUCAUCUGGCAUGAAGAAAGGCGAGUUCCUUUUAGCUGAUGUAAACACUCAGCUGAAGAACAAAAACUUCACAACUGAUGUAAAAGUGGACACCAAUUCCAAUGUAAGUUUUGCUUCAAUUCCUUUUGUUUUUUUCCUCUUCAUUUUCUUUAGUUUCAAACGUCAUGACAAAAUGAAAAUUCUGCGAGAUUUUUUUUCCUCCUGUUUCUCAAUUUUUAUGUUAUUGGAUGAUUUAAUGCUUCAAGAAACUUGGAAGUUACAGUUUAUUUAUUUUUUGAAAAGGAAGUUACAGUUUAUUUCUCUUUGCAACUUUAUCCAUUCUCUUCCUGCAGUCUCUGAAUCUAUCAACAAAUCAUGUCUUAUAUCUCUGAAUCUAUCAACAAAUCAUGUCUUAUAUGUUAGCUUAUAAUGUUUAGUGGUCUUGAUUAUAGUGAUGUUCCUGUCUGAUAAGGAUUUACCUUUUAGAUUUCUUAAGAUAAAGAUUUUUCUUUUCUGUAGCUAUAAGAAGAUCGAGAAAUCAUUGAUUUCUAGCAAAAAA
rnacentral:lncRNA from 1 species